rnacentral:rRNA from 1 species
AGUGGCGGACGGGUGAGUAACACGUAAGAAUUUGCCUUUAGGAGGGGGAUAACAACUGGAAACGGUUGCUAAUACCCCAUACGCUUUCGAGUGAAAUGGAUUUCCGCCUAAAGAGAAGCUUGCGGCUGAUUAGCUUGUUGGUAGGGUAAUGGCCUACCAAGGCGACGAUCAGUAUCUGGUUUGAGAGGACGAUCAGAUGCACUGGAACUGAGACACGGUCCAGACUCCUGCGGGAGGCAGCAGUAGGGAAUUUUUCGCAAUGGGCGAAAGCCUGACGGAGCAAUACCGCGUGAGGGAUGACUGCCUAUGGGUUGUAAACCUCUUUUUUCAGGGAGGAACAAAAUGACGUGUACCUGAAGAAUAAGCAUCGGCUAACUCCGUGCCAGCAGCCGCGGUAAGACGGAGGAUGCAAGUGUUAUCCGGAAUUACUGGGCGUAAAGCGUCUGUAGGUGGCUCGAUAAGUCAACUGUUAAAUCUUGAAGCUCAACUUCAAAAUCGCAGUCGAAACUAUCGGACUAGAGUAUAGUAGAGGUAAAGGGAAUUUCCAGUGGAGCGGUGAAAUGCGUAGAUAUUGGAAAGAACACCGAUGGCGAAAGCACUUUACUGGGCUAUUACUGACACUCAGAGACGAAAGCUAGGGUAGCAAAUGGGAUUAGAUACCCCAGUAGUCCUAGCCGUAAACAAUGGAUACUAGGUGUUG